GCCGGGCGGGAGGAGGGGAACCUGUGAGGGAGGAGCGGGGGGGCGGGGCGCUCCGGGAGGUUCGGCCGGGGGCAUCGCCGCCCCGCGCUUGGCUCUCCGGCCCGCGCAGCCCCGCGGCAGGCGCUGGGGUCGGAGGAGCGCGGUGGCGGGAGCGGCGUUCUGCCGCGCUGCCUGGGAUGAAGCGGCCACGCGGCGCUGCCCGGCCUUGCGAGGCUCCCCGCCAGGUUACCGGACCCGGCCGGCCGCUCGCUCUGCCCUCCCGCCCGGCUCCUGCGGCGUUCCCAUCGUUUCCGAGCCGCGGCGCUGCGAUCAGAGCCGUUGCUUCGGGACACCCGGACGGUCCGACGCGAAGUUUCGUUCCCGCUUUACUUUUUUAAUUCUCGGCGGCCUCUCGUGUGAGAUGUUGAGGACGCAGCAUCCUGACCGUCCCGUCCAGGAGAGCAGGCGGUGCUGGGUUGGCACUGAGGGCUUACAGCCCGCUGAGCUGCCGGCCUCGCCUCUCCUAAUGGCUGGGAGUGCUUUCAUCCGCAAAUCCGUGGUUCUCACACCAUUGUUGUACGACCUUCGGACAGCUUCUCAAGUUGUCGCUCGGAUGCACGUUCUCUCAUGCACCCGUGUGCACAAACCUGCUCGGGGUGCUCUUCUUCCUUCUCCGAUACCCGUUGACACCCCCACAGGUUUCAGACCUGAGUUGUGUUACAGAACUCCUGGCUCUCUUGUCACUUAUCUAUUGGUUUGUUAAACAGAAUCACAUCAGCUGCUGCGGAGCCAAGAAUUGGUUUAAAAUUUUAUCACAAAACUCUCGCUUUCCUAGGAGAAGACAUCAUGGAACUGAUUUUACCUUCGUUUCUCCAGGAAGCGGGGAGUAAAGCUGCGGUGGAAGCAGUGCAGUCGUUAUUCAGAACAGGCCUUGUUCCUGUAGAGCAUUACAGUAUUUCUAAACACAUUAGUAAGCACAGGCUGUGGGAAAGGUUAGCUUGGAAAGCUGGUAAAACUUAAUUACGACUGUCUGACAGUCCAUUAAGAGGAGUAUGGCAGGGUAACUCUGUGAUGUCUCAUAGUACAAGCCCAAAAGGACAUUCAAUGGUACUCAUCAAGUGGGAGUUUUGAAAAACAAUAGGUGGCGAGGCUUUUCCAAGCUAUGUAAUUAUAAUGAAACUAACUGCCAGAGGAAACCAUUCAGCAGCAUUCAAAGCACACAGAUAUUUGUAAGAACACAAAAAGCACCUCCUGCAUUCGCAGCAGAAGCCAAGAAAACGUUUUGAAGAUGCUGAAGCAUGUGACUUGGUAAUCUGUAGGGAAUAAGAACUGUGCUUUUCUGUAUCCGCAGCGGUCAGUGCCUGGUUCAGAGCAGGGGCGGGGGGUGCUGUUGGACCAGAAGGGUUGUGAGCUUUGUCACGUGUCAGGUGAGGAUACAUGAAGUCGUACUGCUCAAGUUCAAAGGUCCACCUGCUGUGACCUGUUCCUCACUCAUAAAGUGGGAGCGCACUGUGCCACAAGGAGCUGAGCGGUGCUGCCGGGUGUGCACACGAGGCAUGGGAAGCUUGGAAGGCAGCUUGCUUCAGAAGGGGCUCUGCAUCGGCGACGGCGGGUUCUUCCCUUGGCAGUCAAUUGCAGGGACUGCCAACUGAGAUAUUCUAGGUGCGUGUUUUCUUCACUGAGGGAAAAAAAUCCGUCGUUGCCAGCAGUGUUGCGCGGUGUUGAAAUGUUAUACUCUGUUAAUGUUCAUUUGAACGGCCGUUCUUCGUGACUUCCUCCCAACUCUUUUUGCUGUUCUCAAGUCUUGCUGGCCUGCUGGCUUUGUGCUCACUGCGAAGGACUUGUUUAGAGUCACUUCCUUGUUUGUCACAGAGAUAACAUGUGCGUGAGCCCAGCUCUUGGUGAGCUGCUGCAUACACCUGCCUUCAGGUGCCGUGUUUUUUACAGGGCUCACUUCCAUGGCUGUGAGAAAUAGUUGUUUAAACAAAGCAAUUCUUGUUUGGGUGAAAGAAUUUUAAAAUUAUCUAUUUCUAGUACUUGUUAUUUCUCUUGCUUAUCUGAAGGGAAUACGCUUUGUUCAGUAGGUGAACAACCACGGACUUGACUUACUUGAGGAGCAGCUCGCAGGCUGUGCUUGCUCUGCAUGCCCAGACGUCUGUCAUGCAAUCUGUCUGUCCAGGAGCAGCUACAGACUUACUGUUCUGACUGCUUGCACUUAGCGAGGGAGCCAGAAUUCAUAUGGUGCUGUGCGCCUCUUCAGACACAAAGGCAAGCGUGAAUUUAAACCAACUGAAACGUGUGUUCGAUUUAGCACAGAACAUCUUUGAGGUGUCUGCAGCCAUGGAGCAAUCUGCCAGGGAUGAAAACGCAUCCUUCAGCAGUCAGUCCGAUUGCAGGAGGUUGAACUGUGGAGUGUCCAUACGAGCAAGCCUUCGCUGCCCCGUGGGAAGAGUUAGAUUUGGGUGGCAGGACUGGGAGUGUUCGUGUUCCUGCAUUGGCACAAGUCCUUGCACACGUACCAUAACCCUGAUUCUGUGUGUCUGAAAGUCCCAGUGUAAUCCAGUAAAUAGGUAUACGUGCCCCACUUUCUCUUUAAACCAGUGCUGUGUUGGAGAGGCACAGUGUCCUUGGUGCUGGAGUCAGCCAGAAGGUUCGAGCUGCUGCAGAACACUGCACUGUUUCUGCAUGGUGAGACGAGCUGUUAGAAGCACUCAGCCUUACUUCUUCUGCUUGGGAAGGAGUGCAGCUGAGGGUGGCGGUGAGUUCUCGGCAUACCACAAGUACACACACACGUGUUUGUUCAGGCAGAUCCGCCGGAGUCUGAAGUGAGCAGUGAGUGGCUGUGUGUGCAGAGGAGCUGAGGGGUGCCAGCUUUCCAGAGCUGCACCAGAAAGUGACAGAUAACGAGCUGGCUCCUCUUCCUUUUCUGUGUGGGCUUUGCCUCGGCAGCUCGUACAGCAGAGCACACGUGAGGGGCUUGCUUCAGCCUUUUAUUGCAGAGUUUUCAGGAUUUGAUUGCUUGUGCAGAGUCUGCUGCAGAUAUAAUUAAACUGAAGCAGAAGUGCAUGACAACCUGUAUGCAGCUUAGCCAACCCUGUGUGUUUCCCAGGCAGAUCAUGCUGUGAAUCACUGAAAACAUGUAAUCUUCUAUUGCAAAGUGCUUGCUUACUAGAGUUCUUUUGUUCUGUAGGCCUUGCAUUUUUCACUGUUUAUGAGUUUGUCUGUAUGAAAAUGUAAACUCUUAACAAUUAAUAAAAUAUGUCACUCAUUAGUUAUUUAGUGUCAUUUUCGUCUUGUCACCUUAGUCUGGAAAUAAUUUCAGCAGAAUGCCCUUUGCAACUCCGGCAGUUCUGGAAAAUGUGGUUCUGUUCCAUCAGGUGGAAGCCACACUUUGGGUUUCCUACUUUUCAAGGAGGUCAGCUUCAACAGCGAGUCUUUGCUUCUGUGGGAUCCAUGGAGCUUGGGGAAAGCUUUGGGAAAAGCUGCCUACUGAAAAUCCAUAAAUAGAACUGGGUGGCUGGAGCUAACUAGAAUAAAUGCAGUAUUUCUUUGACUGUUCACUGCAGGAACUUGGAUGUCUCACUGUUGUUGAAAUCAGCCGUCAGGCUUGGCAGAAAGGCCUCCGGCUGGCUGCUGAUUGCUUUCCUUUGGUUACUUACAGGGGUACCUGGAACUCGUGUCAGUGCAGUGUGAGGCUUUUCCCGCUCUGCAGGGCAGACGCCGCUCUCACUCCAUGCGUAACAGAUUUAAAACUGAAUUAAAUAGUCUUAAGAGGAAAACUUGGUCUCAUCUCCAACCCUUCUUUGGGCCAGGGGAGGAGAGGAGGAAAGGAAAAUAGCCGUGGCAGAGAACGUGAGCUGGGUGCUGGUGGCUGUUUUCCCUCGUUUCAACAUGCUGAAUUUCCACCAGCUUCAAAUCCCAUGUACGUCCCUGAGGUGUGAGAGCACUCAUAUUUUACACAGAAGCGCAGGUAUUUUCUUCUCUGGUGUUUACCAGAAUUGAUUUGAGCUGUCUGUAACGGAGUAACAGUUGCCAAAGCUCUGAAAGUUCCUGCCCUGUUUGUACGCUAAUGCCUCUUCAAGUCAGAUUUCUCUUUGGGGCUGGGCAUAAAACAAAGUACUGCAAUCUCUCACUGAGCAAAAAUGGCUUAGGAAUAUGUAUGUUUUCAGUUUAACCUUGAGCAAAAUAUUUUUGGCAUCAGAACAUUCAUUUCCAUGGACUUGUGCUUUUAACCUACAGCUUUUCAUAAUUGGCCUUUUACAGGUUUGGUUAUUUAUGCAGAGCGAAGAGGCGCUUCGUUCUUUUCUGUCUUUGCAUCUGAAAUCUUUAGUAAAUGGGACAAUUGCAGGGAUUUCCUUGGUCCUUGGUGUGCUGUCAGCUCUGCGUGUUGGAGGAGCUUCCUCAUGUGGCUGUUACACGUUGGUUGGUAUCUGUACUGUGCGUUGAAGCCGUAAAACUCUUAAUUAGGCUGGUAGAGAUUUACACAUGGAUGCGGGUAGCUCACAAGCAUUCUGCUGUCAUCCCCCCUUACUGCACUGGAGCUGGGCUCUGCAUCUGGUCCCUGAAGGACAGCACUCCAGCAGGCUGAGCUCUGAGCUGCCCGCAUUUGGUUCAGCUCUGCAGCUCCUCAGUUCUGCUGCCGUUUGGAGGCUGGGACAACAGAAAUACUGCAGGCGUUUUUGAACACCAGCUCACCCCCACAACUUCUUGGUUGACAUCAGAACUCCUUCAGGCAGUGUGGAAGUGCAGGCAUUUCUUACUCCCUUUCUGCCCUGUGACCCGGCAGCCAUUGUGGCCAUUACAGCCUUGGGCUUUUGAAAUGGAGAGAAGAAAGCAGAAAAGGGCUGAAUUGUGUGGAGGGUUUCCAGGUAAGUGCAUGCUUUCAGAAGCUGCUUGUUUCUUGUAUGCUGCUUGAGACUUUUAUAAAAUGCUCAUUUCUGUACUUUUGUUUUGUUUUGCUUGUUUCCAAGCUUUACUUUUGUAAAAGCUGUUCUAAUUCUUAUCCCCCACUUGGCCACAGGUACCUGUAUUGGGUGAGCACGAAGCAGGAGGAGCAGUUCCCUGUGCUACGGGGGUUGGGGCAGAUCGGGGACCCUUUGGGUGCUCCGUACCCACUGUCCUCCGAUGGGAAAUGGGGGAGAUGAUGAGGAAUUGGAGGCAGAGGCACUUUCUCCUCCAAAAGCAUUGUCCCCUUCAGCUGUAAAAUGCAAGUGUUUUUCACCUUUUAAAAUACGGGGUGUCUUUAAGAAAGAAUGAAAUAGUUGGCCACGUGUCUCACAAGUUAAUAUAGGUUGCUCAGAUGUAGCCUGGGGUAAAACAUAGAUUUUUCUCAUUGCAUUUGAAUAAAGCUUUCUCUGUUUCCCUUAGAUCUCAAAUCAGUAGGAAACCCGUUUUUCAAUGACUAACCAUCGCCUGGUUUGGUGUGUGCUUGCAGGGCUGUGCUAGGUGCAGCUGUUACUCUUUAUGAACCUGAGUAAGCGGAGGAAAAGGAAGAAAGUAAUGAAAACUUGGUGUACAAAAACUAGAGCAACUGAACUAACCUGUGCUUUCUAGUCCAGUUUCAGAUGCAGUCCUCUUCCCACCAGCACGGCCAGGAGCUCAGCUUGUUGGCACAGCGCUCAUCUUCACCACGCUUCCUGACCUCUUAGCAGUGACGAUGCUGAGCACUCAGCACUGCAAAAUGGCAAGGCAAACUGAAGCCCCUGGAAGCGCGUAUGAAAGAGGGAUGUGAGCUUAUGAGAAGCUAGGAUGAGGUCUGUUGGUCUCGUUUGCUGCUUUUCAGCAUGGACUCCUUCCAUGCACUGCCAUGUGGACGAAAAGCUGCUCAUACACAAGCCUUAAAACAGGAACUCGAGGAGCUGCACGCUGCUUUAGCUGUAUGGAAACACUGCUCAAACAACAACAUCUGGCCUGGGCCAUCACUUAAAGGUGCCUUGAUUUUCCUUGUAAAGCAGUUCCACCGCAUGCACCAAAUGCUGUUCUGAAGUUCAGAUGAUGGUUUGAGGGAAGCAGAUAUUUGAGUAGCGCUCUCUGAAAUAUGUCAACAUUUUGUGUGCUGCUGUUUCCAUGGAAACGGGUAUCAGCUCAGAGAAAUGGCUUCAGGAUUUCAAAACUGGAUGUAAAAAAUAAAAUCCAGAGAGGUUAGUCAUUCAUAUUGCUACUCAUGAGCUGAUCUUGUGGUGCUAACCGAUGUGCCGUGAACACAUUAGGUAUAGACCUAUGCAUACUAGACCUAUAGACCAUGCACACUGCCAGGUCCAUGAUUUAUAUGUUUUCUAAGUGAGCCUUUGUCUGAAGGAACUUUAUUAGAAAAUGCAUGAGUUGCAUUUUUUUCUAGCUUGUUCUCUUCCACAUACCUGAAAGCUGUCACAUUUUCAUCACUUCUUUAGGCCUCUACUGGAAAAAAGGUGAAGGAGGUAUUGGAUAAAACUACAGAUUUAAGCUAGUUGGCAAACUUUUCUUUUUAACAUAUAAUGGCUCAGGGAACACAGAGCUGAUUGUUUGGAAUCUUUAGCAGCAUGUAGAAAUGAAGCAGGUGCCAUUUCUUUGAGCUGUUUGCCUCUGAGGACGCGUGCUUUAGAAGAGCCGGCUUGCAGGCGAGGCAGUUAUCCCAGCUGAACACGGGAUCAGCGCAGGACUGACUGCAGGCAGUGUGCAAUGAGCACAACUGUAUGGAGCUGAGGGCAGAGCGCCCCGGGGAUCCUUGGAAGAUGAAGACUCCUCUGUUUGGAGUCUUGCGUCUUCAGCUUAGUGACUCGGACAUUUGUAUGUGUUUUCUAGCUCAAGCCAUGCAUAGAUGUCUGUCUUCAAUAUGAACUGGAUGUCCCAAGUCCUCUAGAGCAGUGGCUCCCAGCUGGUGAAGGGCAACAUGUUAAAGGAAAGGCACGGAGCUGGAGGCUUCAAGGAUGGAAAUGCAGCGCAGAAGCAACGUGCAAAGAGCUGCCCAGAGAAGUUUUUGUAUGGCACAACACCAGAGACCCUACAGCCAGGGAUUGUGGGAGGAUGUUACAGCAGGUACAGCGAUGCCAAGUUAUUCUUGUCUACCUGUUACAGCAGCUCAGGAGUUGCUGCCAAGGUUGGUACCCACAUUCACACCCACUACACAGGUACUGCAUUUGAAGCUCACAUGUUGCUUAAAAAUAUCCAACAGUGUAAUUGUCCUGAUAGGACAAGAAGGUUUGUAUGGCUUGGAGGAAGGUCCUCACCUCACUGCCCUGGGAGUUGGCUUUUAGCAAGCAGCUGUAACCACUGCUGCUAUGCCAGACUACUCAGCUCCUGUGUUAAUCUGAUUUUCAGGAGCCACGAUCACUUUGAUAUGGCUGCAGAAGGAAACAAAAGAGCCAGAAGCCUCACAAACUUUAAACAAUUUAUUAGAUCCCAAUAUAUUAGAACACCUAAUUCAGGGUGAAAUUACAUUUUAAGACCAAAAAAAUGCAAUGCUUAAAUAUGGCAUUUACUGUGACUGCUAUUCUUAGAAUCCUGGUACAGGUUUUUCUUCCUGUGUGAUGUUAGAAUGGAUCUAAUGCAGAGCAGGCCCAGUGCUUUGCUUUGAGGGCUGCUCCCCCCCCCGCCUCUCAGACACGUAAUGAAGAAGUCAGGCCUCAAACACCACCACCAGAGGAAAAAAACCCAACCACUGCAAGGCAUCACCAGAAUGUGAUGUUUUAUUUCUCGUAUGUUUUAAGACUCAUUAGCAGAAUAAUGUAGCAAAACAAAAAUCAUGCAACUUCUGAAAUGUAAAAGGUCCACUGAAUGGGCAUCAAGCAAGACUGUUAUUUCAGACUGGAACCUGAGUACAGAGAGAGUACCAUCACCCAUGUCAAAGGUCCUGUAAUUUCUUUUCACAGUAGCCCUUUUGGAGAAGCAGGUUGGGUUAAUAACCUCAUUUUCCACUACUGUAAAUCAACAGAAUCAUCUCCAUAAAAUACAGAAAGUGCUCAACACAUAAUACAAAAAGUAUCUAACUUACAAACUGGCCGGAGACACAAAAGCAAAGGUGGAAGUGGCAGAUGGUUGGAGAGAUCUGUACCAAAGUAUUACAUUGUAAAUGAACUUGAGUGACUGCAACACAGGAUGGAGUCUCUUGGAACAGUUAAACUCUGCAUACAAGGUAUUUAGGGAGGGUAGGGGUUGUGCCUUCCCUUCAGGUUCCUGCAGUGCUGAUGCAGAUUUCUUCCCUCCCCCAUCCCCACACUACCUGCUCUCUCUCCUUUAACACGUGCACAAAGAUCCCCUACAAGCUGUGUUGAAUUAUUUAUAUCAGCUUUUAAGAUAAGCUAUUAGUUACACAACUUUCUCAGGAUGUAUCAAAUGACUGGAACUCUGCUGCCACUGAUCUGCAGCUCUGGCUAUGAGUUUUGGUCACUGUACGUGAGAAUCAAAAUGGUGCUUGUUCUGAGGCCUGUGCCACUGUCCUUCCUCACCUACAUCCAAGAAGGAGCAAUUUUGAAGCAUUCAGUUUUCAUUCUCAAACAAUAGCUCACCUGCAAAACACAAAACACACA